CCCGAAAGAUCGAAUGGGGAGAUUCUCGAUUUGCGGGGUCGGCUCUUUGUGGUUCGCGAUGUUUGAGACUUGUAUUUCAUACUCGUCGAUUGCACGCGUCCACUGUUGAUGUUCGAUCACGCAGUCGUGCACUUCUCCUCUAGUAGAACGUCGCGACCCGCUGGGUGUCGGUUCAAGGUUCGAACUUGUCGACUGUACCGUAGACACGAAUAAUGUCGCACGGUGCAGACGUUUGAGACCCGACCGGCUGCUCGGCGGUAUACGCACGGUAUCGAGCCGCACUCGAAUGCGUUCAGAAUUGUCACAGGUCGUAUCAUCGAGCCGGUUGGGCGGACCAAGUUCCGCCGUCCCGGGGAGAGGUGUCGGCUGUUGACUGUGUUCUCGAACAGGCUCAAAUCAAACUUGACUCAAGAUACCGGUCGGCGACGCUUCCGAUUUGGGUACUUUCAGGACCCGUCUUGAAACACGGACCAAGGAGUCUAACAUGUACGCGAGUCAUUGGGACAUAAGAAACCUAAAGGCGCAUUGAAAGAGAAGAUCGACCACGCGUCGAUCGAGGGAGGAUGGGCAAGUUUUUUUAUUGCUCCGCACUCCCGGGGCGUCUCGUAGUCAUUGCGACUUGAGGCGCACCCAGAGCGUACACGUUGGGACCCGAAAGAUGGUGAACUAUGCCUGGUCAGGACGAAGUCAGGGGAAACCCUGAUGGAGGUCCGUAGCGAUUCUGACGUGCAAAUCGAUCGUCGGAACUGGGUAUAGGGGCGAA
rnacentral:rRNA from 1 species